UACGUAGGGACCAAGCGUUGUUCGGAUUUACUGGACGUAAAGGGCGCGUAGGCGGCGCGGUAAGUCACUUGUGAAAUCUCUGAGCUUAACUCAGAACGGCCAAGUGAUACUGCAGUGCUAGAGUGUGGAAGGGGCAAUCGGAAUUCUUGGUGUAGCGGUGAAAUGCGUAGAUAUCAAGAGGAACACCUGAGGUGAAGACGGGUUGCUGGGCCAACACUGACGCUGAGGCGCGAAAGCCAGGGGAGCAAACGGG
rnacentral:rRNA from 1 species